rnacentral:misc_RNA from 1 species
GAUGAAGAACGUAGCGAAAUGCGAUAAGUAAUGUGAAUUGCAGAAUUCAGUGAAUCAUCGAAUCUUUGAACGCACCUUGCGCUCCUUGGUAUUCCGAGGAGCAUGCCUGUUUGAGUGUCAUUAAUAUAUCAACCUUCUCUUUUUUGAGUUGUUUGGAUGUGGGGGUUUGCUGGCCUCUUAAAUGAUUCAGCUCCCCUGAAAUGCAUUAGCAGAACAACCUGUUCAUUAGCGUGAUAAUUAUCUAUGCUAUUGAAUGUGAGGGCAGUUCAGCUUUCUAACCGUCCUUGGACAAUUCAUCAGUAAUGUGACCUCAAAUCAGGUAGGACUACCCGCUGAACUUAAGCAUAUCAAUAAGCGGAGGA